rnacentral:lncRNA from 1 species
GAGAAUGUCCCAAGCAUCUUUAGCCGCUUCACAGUUGUUUACCAACCUUAAAUAUUCUUGUCUACUCCGAUGAAUAUUGCAUUCAAUGCUUUAGAAUUUCCAAGGGCUAGAUCAUCCUCCUCCUUGGACCAUUGUUCUUCAGGUUUCUUAUCAAUUCUGGCUUCUCCUUCCUUAGUAAUUACAGGAUGUACCCAGCAUGUUAACACAACCUUCC